GACGAACGCUGGCGGCGUGCCUAACACAUGCAAGUCGAACGGGGUAAUGACUUCGGUUAUUACUUAGUGGCGAACGGGUGAGUAACGCGUGAGGAACCUGCCUUUCAGUGGGGGACAACAGUUGGAAACGACUGCUAAUACCGCAUAAUGUUUUUGGAUCGCAUGAUUUGAAAACCAAAGAUUUAUUGCUGAAAGAUGGCCUCGCGUCUGAUUAGCUAGUUGGUGAGGUAACGGCUCACCAAGGCGACGAUCAGUAGCCGGUCUGAGAGGAUGAACGGCCACAUUGGGACUGAGAUACGGCCCAG
rnacentral:rRNA from 1 species